rnacentral:rRNA from 1 species
GAGUUUGAUCCUGGCUCAGAUUGAACGCUGGCGGCAGGCCUAACACAUGCAAGUCGAGCGGCAGCGGGAAGAUAGCUUGCUAUCUUCGCCGGCGAGCGGCGGACGGGUGAGUAAUACCUGGGGAUCUGCCCAGUCGAGGGGGAUAACAGUUGGAAACGACUGCUAAUACCGCAUACGCCCUACGGGGGAAAGGAGGGGACCUUCGGGCCUUCCGCGAUUGGAUGAACCCAGGCGGGAUUAGCUAGUAGGUGAGGUAAUGGCUCACCUAGGCGACGAUCCCUAGCUGUUCUGAGAGGAUGGACAGCCACACUGGAACUGAGACACGGUCCAGACUCCUACGGGAGGCAGCAGUGGGGAAUAUUGGACAAUGGGGGAAACCCUGAUCCAGCCAUGCCGCGUGUGUGAAGAAGGCCUUCGGGUUGUAAAGCACUUUCAGUGGGGAGGAAAGGUUGAUGGUUAAUACCUAUCAGCUGUGACGUUACCCACAGAAGAAGCACCGGCUAACUCCGUGCCAGCAGCCGCGGUAAUACGGAGGGUGCAAGCGUUAAUCGGAAUUACUGGGCGUAAAAGCGUGCGCAGGCGGUCUGUUAAGCGAGAUGUGAAAAGCCCCGGGCUCAACCUGGGAACUGCAUUUCGAACUGGCAGACUAGAGUCUUGUAGAGGGGGGUAGAAUUCCAGGUGUAGCG